AAGACCUUGCGCUUUUGGAGCGGCCGAUGUCUGAUUAGCUAGUUGGUGGGGUAAUGGCCUACCAAAGCUUCGAUCAGUAGCUGGUCUGAGAGGACGGCCAGCCACACUGGGACUGAGACACGGCCCAGACUCCUACGGGAGGCAGCAGUGGGGAAUUUUGGACAAUGGGCGCAAGCCUGAUCCAGCCAUGCCGCGUGAGUGAAGAAGGCCUUCGGGUUGUAAAGCUCUUUCAGCCGGGAAGAAAAGGCUGCGACUAAUAAUCGCAGUUCAUGACGGUACCGGAAGAAGAAGCACCGGCUAACUACGUGCCAGUAGCCGCGGUAAUACGUGGGGUGCGAGCGUUAAUCGGAAUUACUGGGCGUAAAGGGUGCGCAGGCGGUUUUGUAAGUCAGAUGUGAAAUCCCCGGGCUUAACCUGGGAAC
rnacentral:rRNA from 1 species